rnacentral:rRNA from 1 species
AACGAACGCUGGCGGCAUGCCUAACACAUGCAAGUCGAACGAGACCUUCGGGUCUAGUGGCGCACGGGUGCGUAACGCGUGGGAACCUGCCCUUAGGUUCGGAAUAACUCCCCGAAAGGGGUGCUAAUACCGGAUAAUGUCUUCGGACCAAAGAUUUAUCGCCUUUGGAUGGGCCCGCGUUGGAUUAGCUAGUUGGUAGGGUAAAAGCCUACCAAGGCGACGAUCCAUAGCUGGUCUGAGAGGAUGAUCAGCCACACUGGGACUGAGACACGGCCCAGACUCAUGCGGGAGGCAGCAGUGGGGAAUAGUGGGCGAUGGGCUGAGGCCUGAUCCAGCAAUGCCGGGUGAGGGAUGAAGGGCUGAGGGUUGUAAAGCUCUUUUACCCGGGAUGAUAAUGACGGUACCGGGAGAAUAAGCACCGGCUAACUCCGUG